CUACGUGCCAGCAGCCGCGGUAAUACGGAGGGUGCAAGCGUUAAUCGGAAUUACUGGGCGUAAAGCGCACGCAGGCGGUCUGUCAAGUCGGAUGUGAAAUCCCCGGGCUCAACCUGGGAACUGCGUUCUGAACUGGGUGACUAGAGUGUGUCAGAGGGAGGUAGAAUUCCACGUGUAGCAGUGAAAUGCGUAGAGAUGUGGAGGAAUACCGAUGGCGAAGGCAGCCUCCUGGGAUAACACUGACGUUCAUGCCCGAAAGCGUGGGUAGCAAACAGGAUUAGAUACCCUGGUAGUCCACGCCCUAAACGAUGUCGAUUAGCUGUUGGGCAGCAUGACUGCUUAGUAGCGAAGCUAACGCGUGAAAUCGACCGCCUGGGGAGUACGGUCGCAAGAUUAAAACUCAAAGGAAUUGACGGGGACCCGCACAAGCGGUGGAUGAUGUGGAUUAAUUCGAUGCAACGCGAAGAACCUUACCUGGUCUUGACAU
rnacentral:rRNA from 1 species